rnacentral:rRNA from 1 species
GACGGAAGGUGCAAGCGUUGCUCGGAAUCACUGGGCGUAAAGGGUGCGUAGGCGGCUUGGUAAGUUGGGUGUGAAAGCCCCGGGCUCAGCCCGGGAAGGGCACUCGAAACUGCCGAGCUGGAGUGCCGAAGGGGAGAGUGGAAUUCCUGGUGUAGCGGUGAAAUGCGUAGAUAUCAGGAAGAACACCCGUGGCGAAGGCGGCUCUCUGGGACGGUACUGACGCUGAGACGCGAAAGCGUGGGGAGCGAACAGG